rnacentral:rRNA from 1 species
AGUGAGCGCUGGCGGUAGGCCUAACACAUGCAAGUCGAACGGCAGCACAGUAAGAGCUUGCUCUUACGGGUGGCGAGUGGCGGACGGGUGAGGAAUACAUCGGAAUCUACUUUUUCGUGGGGGAUAACGUAGGGAAACUUACGCUAAUACCGCAGACGACCUACGGGUGAAAGCAGGGGAUCUUCGGACCUUGCGCGAUUGAAUGAGCCGAUGUCGGAUUAGCUAGUUGGGGGGGUAAAGGCCGACCAAGGCGACGAUCCGUAGCUGGUCUGAGAGGAUGAUCAGGCACACUGGAACUGAGACACGGUCCAGACUCCUACGGGAGGAAGCAGUGGGGAAUAUUGGACAAUGGGCGCAAGCCUGAUCCAGCCAUACCGCGUGGGUGAAGAAGGCCUUCGGGUUGUAAAGCCCUUUUGUUGGGAAAGAAAAGCAGCAGGUUAAUACCCCGCUGUUCUGACGGUACCCAAAGAAUAAGCACCGGCUAACUUCGUG